CCCAUGGAAGACCCCUUUGCCUACGUCGAGGGGCUGAGAGGGGCUUGGAUACCUCCCUUGUGAGUGCUGGCAGAAAUCCAGCCACAGCUGCUGCAUGCAUGAGAUGAGGAGAACCUGCUGUCUUAGAAGAUACUGCUGCUCAGAGACUGGAAAGGAUCUGUCCUUCUUCCCUCCUGGACUUUUAUUUGGAGGGGAGAAGAGAUCUGAUCCAUUGUAAAUACUUAUGUCAUGGUAGAGAUAGUUGUGAUAGUGUGUAUAAUGUAUUAUAAUAUUUAUUUGUAUAGUCAUCGUAAAAUAUUCCCUUUCCCCAUUCUGAGUCUUGUGUUUUGUCUGGAAAAAACACAUCUUAUACUGGUUGAGAUGGGGGAGGGGGCUUUGACUAGAGAAUUAGAUUUUUUCAAAGCUCUCAAACCAUGACAUGCAUGUAUAGGUUUUAAGUCGAGUAACUCUUCAUUAACAUUAAUGAACAACUACUUGAGAAAAAUCUUCAUGUUUUCAAGGGGAUAUUAAGAAAACAUGGUGUCUUUACCCUACCAAGAGGAAAGUUCUGUAGGCAUGCAUAAUACAGUGAGAGAAUAAAAACAACCAAACACAAAACCAAACAAAAAUAAAACAAAACAAUCAAACAAGUCAAAUGGUAAACAGCAUUUUGUCAGGGGGUAGAUAUAAUUAAGUUCCUUGGAUGACCACGUGCCUGUAUAAUUGUGUUAACAAAGGGAAUAUUCUCUCUCACACAUUCAACAUUUUCAGAUUUCAAAAUGACAUGACUAACAUUAAGUUUUGGGCCUAUUAAAUCAGACACAAACUUUUAUAUUUCAAGGUUAUUCAAAGAAAUAUAAUUUCUUGAUUAUUUGCACUUCUUACAAAACUCACACCUUAUUGAAAUUCGUGACUCAAAAGAAACUGUUGUCCCAUUUUUAUAAAAAAUUAAACUUGGUUCUACCAAGUAAAUUCUGAUGAUAUUAAUCAUAUGCAACAUCAGUGUCUCCUACAUUAUCACUCUGAAUUUCAGCAAAAGCAAAACCCUAAAUACAGAGCUUGCUGUCGUAUCUCAGAGGAUGAGAAAUCUAGCAAAUACUACAGAGGACUGCAUGUGGUAUACAUUUUGAGGAAGUACAAUCAAAAAAAAAAAGAAGCUUGAUUUUUCCUCUUAGUUUCAUUUGAAUAAUCAAACUCUAAAUUGUAGCACUUAAAUGGAAGUCAAAGAACUUGGAGUGUGAUGGAGGAAGCAGUAAUCAGUUUGAAAAGAUGUUGAAUCUCUGAUGAGCAUUGAAUAUGUCAGAUUAAGUUAUGCCCUAGAAAGGGAGGAUCCCUGAACAACUGCUAGUCACUUUAAAUUAUUCUGCAUUUCAAACAGGAAAUCAUCCAAUUAGACUAACAGCUGCAGAGAUUGGAAUAAGCCUUAUAUAUUUGAAAAUUAAGGAAAUGCAGCUAAGUACUAAGGAAAGGAGCUAAGACACCUACAGAUACUACUCCUGCAGCUUUUGGCACUGUGCAUCCCAAAACUGGCCUUCAGGAGACGUCUCUUUUCUGAAGAGGUUGUUCCUUGAAGAAUCUCAGGCUGACAUCAGACUACCUAAUCUCUCUUUUAUUAGUUAGAAGACUACUCUUAAGGCCAACAAGAUCAUUUACAUCCAACUUGUCCUGGAUUCAGAAAAAAGGUAACAAUACCUUCACUCUCUUGUAUGUUUGACCCUUAUCAAAUGGAUUUAAACUUAGCGAUUUUAACACUCUUAGGAAAUCUUCCUAUUAGAUUUCAGAAAUAUCAGCUAGAUGUUCAUGCAUGCAUUUCUAGCCUUUACCAAUGAUUCUGAAACUGGUGUAUAACCAAAUAAGAACUUUUUGUCCAAGGUCUUAUUGCUGAAGAUAUCAUUGUACCGACAUCUUAAUUUUCUGCUGAAUUAAUAGACUUUAUCUGCUCCCUUUUUCUAUACAUGAACAUAAAUUUUAAUAAAAACUA